UAGUCAUAUGCUUGUCUCAAAGAUUAAGCCAUGCAGGUCUAAGUACGUGCCGAAAUAAGGUGAGACUGCGAACGGCUCAUUACAUCAGUUAUGGUUCCUUAGAUCUCCGACGUUUUACUUGGAUAACCCUGUUAAAUCAGAGCUAAUACAUGCCUAGAAGCCCCGACCCUUAGGUGGGAAGGGGCGUUUUUAUUAGAUCAAAACCAGACGGGGACUCGUGCCCCGGAACUCUCUGGUGACUCUGGAUAACUUUGGACGGAUCGCACGGUCCUGGCACCGGCGACGUAUCUUUCAAAUGUCUGCCUUAUCAACUUGAUGGUAGGUUAUGCGCCUACCAUGGUGAUAACGGGUGACGGAGAAUCAUGGUUCGACGCCGGAGAGGGAGCCUGAGAAACGGCUACCACCAUCCAGGAAGGCAGCGAGGCACGCAAAUUACCCACUCCCGACACCGGGGAGGGUAGUGACGAAAAAUAACGAUACGGGACUCAUCCGAGGCCCCGUAAUUGGAAUGAGUACACUUUAAAUCCUUUAACGAGGAUCUAUUGGAGGGCAAGUCUGGUGCCAGCAGCCGCGGUAAUUCCAGCUCCAAUAGCGUAUAUUAAAGUUGCUGCGGUUAAAAAGCUCGUAGUUGGAUCUCAGUCGCGGUCGGGCGGUCCGCCGCAGGGCGGCACUGCUCGAACCGGACAAUCGGCCGGUUGCUCCCGGGAUGCUCUUCGCCGGGUGUCCCGGGUGACCGGAACGUUUACUUUGAAAAAAUUAGAGUGCUCAAAGCAGGCCGGUCGCCUGAAUAGUCGUGCAUGGAAUAAUGGAAUAGGACCUCGGUUCUAUUUUGUUGGUUCCGGAACCCGAGGUAAUGAUUGAUAGGGACAGACGGGGGCAUUCGUAUUGCGACGCUAGAGGUGAAAAUUCUUAGACCGUCGCAAGACGAACUACUGCGAAAGCAUUUGCCAAGAAUGUUUUCAUUAAUCAAGAACGAAAAGUUAGAGGUUCCAAGGCGAUCAGAUACCGCCCUAGUUCUAACCCAUAAACGAUGCCAACUGGCGAUCCCGCCGACGUUAUUCACAUGACCCGGCGGGCAGCUUCCGGGAAACCAAAGUUUCUCGGUUCCGGGGGAAGUAUGGUUGCAAGGCCGAAACUUAAAGGAAUUGACGGAAGGGCACCACCAGGAGUGGAGCCUGUGGCCCAAUUCGACUCAACGCGGGGAACCUCACCAGGCCCGGACACUAGAAGGAUUGACAGAUUGAGAGCUCUUUCUUGAUUUGGUGGGUGGUGGUGCAUGGCCGUUUUUAGUUGGUGGAGCGAUCUGUCUUGGUUAAUUCCGAUAACGAACGAGACCCUGGCCUACUAACUAGACGGCGGAUUCUUUCCCGUCCGCCUCGUCUUCUUAGAGGGACAGGCACGCGCUUAGCUGCACGAAAUGGGGCAAAAACAGGUCUGUGAUGCCCUUAGAUGUUCUGGGCUGCACACGCGCUACACUGACGGAGGCAGCGUGUGUUCCCUGUCCGAAAGGACCGGGUAACCCGCUCAAUCUCCCUCGUGCUAGGGAUUGAGGCUUGCAAUUGUUUCUCAUGAACGAGGAAUUCCCAGUAAGUGCGAGUCAUCACCUCGCGCUGAUUACGUCCCUGCCCUUUGUACACACCGCCCGUCGCUACUACCGAUUGAAUGAUUUAGUGAGGACUUCGGACUGGUGUCCGGGGCGGCUCUCGGGUCGGUCCGGUGCGCCGGAAAGUUGUCCGAACUGUAUCAUUUAGAGGAAGUAAAAGUCGUAACAAGGUUUCC
rnacentral:rRNA from 1 species